GACGAACGCUGGCGGCGUGCCUAAUACAUGCAAGUAGAACGCUGAAGGAGGAGCUUGCUCUUCUGGAUGAGUUGCGAACGGGUGAGUAACGCGUAGGUAACCUGCCUGGUAGCGGGGGAUAACUAUUGGAAACGAUAGCUAAUACCGCAUAACAGUAGAUGUUGCAUGACAUUUACUUAAAAGGUGCAAUUGCAUCACUACCAGAUGGACCUGCGUUGUAUUAGCUAGUUGGUGGGGUAACGGCUCACCAAGGCGACGAUACAUAGCCGACCUGAGAGGGUGAUCGGCCACACUGGGACUGAGACACGGCCCAGACUCCUACGGGAGGCAGCAGUAGGGAAUCUUCGGCAAUGGACGGAAGUCUGACCGAGCAACGCCGCGUGAGUGAAGAAGGUUUUCGGAUCGGAAAGCUCUGUUGUAAGAGAAGAACGAGUGUGAGAGUGGAAAGUUCACACUGUGACGGUAUCUUACCAGAAAGGGACGGCUAACUACGUG
rnacentral:rRNA from 1 species